UACGUAGGGGGCAAGCGUUGUCCGGAAUCAUUGGGCGUAAAGCGCGUGUAGGCGGUUCGGUAAGUCUGCUGUGAAAGUCCAGGGCUCAACCCUGGGAUGCCGGUGGAUACUGUCGGGCUAGAGUGCGGGAGAGGCGAGUGGAAUUCCUGGUGUAGCGGUGAAAUGCGCAGAUAUCAGGAGGAACACCAAUUGCGAAGGCAGCUCGCUGGAACGUAACUGACGCUGAGACGCGAAAGCGUGGGGAGCAAACAGG
rnacentral:rRNA from 1 species